CAUGUGCGAGAAGAACGGUCAGACCCCUCCGCCGAUGCCAGUCAUUGCUCCGGCGGACACGCAUAACUCCCGACAAGCAUCGACGUCUGCCAUUGGCGCGAGCAAGAACCCCGAUCCUCCUCCGUCUGCCACUACCGCGAGCAAGAACCCCGAUCCUUCACCUACGGGUUGACGAUUUGCUUCAGAUCACGGAAGCUUGGGUUGAUGGAGUGCUUGUCUUUAGUUUUUGUUUUG